CCAUCUUUCGGGGUGGAAAUUUUUUAUAUGGUGAAUCAUGAUAACUUUACGAAUCGCACGGUCUUGUACUGGCGAUAGUUCAUUCAAAUAUCUGCCCUAUCAACUUUCGAUGGUAGUAUAGAGGACUACCAUGGUGGUAACGGGUAACGGAGAAUCAGGGUUUGAUUCCGGAGAAGGAGCCUGAGAAACGGCUACUACUUCCAAGGAAGGCAGCAGGCGCGCAAAUUACCCAAUCCCGACACGGGGAGGUAGUGACAAAAAAUAACAAUACCGGUCUUAUUUAAGUCUGGUAAUUGGAAUGAGUACAAUCUAAAACCUUUAACGAGUAUCAAUUGGAGGGCAAGCCUGGUGCCAGCAGCCGCGGUAAUUCCAGCUCCAAUAGCAUAUAUUAAAGUUGUUGCAGUUAAAAAGCUCGUAGUUGGAUUUUGAUGUUACUUAUUAUGACCCGCCUUGUAUAAGGUGUGUUUGUUGUGAUAAGUACAUCUCCUUACUAGACUUUCAUGAUUGCACUUCAUUGAGUGAUCAUUUCAUCUUGAUUCGUUAGGGUGAGUGAUGAGUAGACCUACUGGGUUUGAGAUUGUGGACGAACUUCUUCGGAGGUUGGUUCUGCUUAGAUUCAGUAACUAUUCAUUAGAAAUCUAGUUCAUUUACUUUGAGUAAAUUAGAGUGUUCAAGGCAAGCAAAUUUGUUUCUGCAAUGAAUACUAUUAGCAUGGGAUAAUGGAACAGGACACGUAUUCUAGUUUUCCGUUGGUUUCUAGAAUUUUUAGUCUCUCUUCGGAGGGGCGAAGUGUAAUGAUUAAAAGGGACAGUUGGGGGCAUUCGUAUUUCAUUGUCAGAGGUGAAAUUCUUGGAUUUAUGAAAGACGAACUUCUGCGAAAGCAUUUGUCAAAGAUGUUUUCAUUAAUCAAGAACGAAAGUUAGGGGAUCGAAGACGAUCAGAUACCGUCGUAGUCUUAACCAUAAACUAUGCCGACCAGGGAUUGGAAGAUGUAUUAUCCUAUGUUUAACCGUAGGAA
rnacentral:rRNA from 1 species